AAGGGGGAAUGGCUUGAAACAGAAAGACAGUAGGUUUAAACUGGAUACUAGGAGAAAUUCUUUACUGUGAGGGUGAGGAACAUGUUGUCCAG